UACCAGCACCCCGAGUGGUCGGGACGUUUAUUGGGCCUAAAGCAUCCGUAGCCGGUUCUACAAGUCUUCCGUUAAAUCCACCUGCUUAACAGAUGGGCUGCGGAAGAUACUAUGGAGCUAGGAGGCGGGAGAGGCAAGCGGUACUCGAUGGGUAGGGUAAAUCCGUUGAUCCAUUGAAGACCACCAGUGGCGAAGGCGGCUCGCCAGAACGCGCUCGACGGUGAGGGAUGAAAGCUGGGGGAGCAAACCGG
rnacentral:rRNA from 1 species